rnacentral:rRNA from 1 species
UACGUAGGGGGCUAGCGUUGUCCGGAAUCAUUGGGCGUAAAGCGCGCGUAGGCGGCCAGAUAAGUCCGGUGUGAAAGUCACAGGCUCAACCUGUGGAUGCCGCUGGAAACUGUUUGGCUCGAGUCCGGAAGGGGCGAGUGGAAUUCCUGGUGUAGCGGUGAAAUGCGCAGAUAUCAGGAGGAACACCAAUGGCGAAGGCAGCUCGCUGGGACGGUACUGACGCUGAGACGCGAAAGCGUGGGGAGCGAACAGG